CGAAUGGGAUGCACUGAUCCUGUUGAGACUGGCCAAUGGCAACACCGAGUCAGAGACUGGAAGGUGAGAGGAAGAGAGGUGAGGGUAUUUCUUCCUCUGCUCUCUCUGCGCCUCAGGAUCCCACAGUAGCCGAGCAUCUCUAAGUUGCAUCUCCUGCUUAUGGACGCAGCAUCAUCGGAAACAAAAGCCAAGAAUGCUGAGGGGCCCCUGGGGCCAGUGACAGCGGCUGGCCGGGCGCCAGGAAUCACCACAGGUCCACAGCUCAGUCAGGAGCAGGAAUUCUCAUCCUCAGGUGGCUGCGUGGACCCAUCGGGAGAAUUCCGACUCGGAGUCUGCAGAGAGUCAAACCCAGGCUCUACCACCUACUUGGGGAGCCUCUUCCCUGACCUGGGCUUGUUUGCUUAGCUGUAGUGAGCGAGAGACCCCCUCACUCCCCCAACCUGGGAGGGUUGGAGGAUCCAGGGGUCUCUGAGACCUAUCACAGCAGCUCAGGACAGUGGCCUCAGGACCACGAGGAUGGAGGGUGCUCCUGGCUGGGUGAGGGUGGCGAGGGGAUGGCAUUCUCCUCUCUUCCUUCCCACAAAAACCUAAGGAACACUUGCCUCCGGGGCCUGGAGAUGCGGGACAAGCAUCGUUUUACUCCAGGGAACAGGAGUGCCACUCGAGAGCCCCUGUCCAUAGGAAGAUGUUGGAGACUCAGUGGUUCCAAGUCCUCCUGCCAGAUUCCACGCAAUCCCACACAACCCUUCGAGGUGGAGGCUGAGGACCAGUCCUGUUUUACAGAUGCAAAUACUGAGACACAGAGGCGG
rnacentral:lncRNA from 13 species